GAUGAAGAACGUAGCGAAAUGCGAUACGUAAUGUGAAUUGCAGAAUUCAGUGAAUCAUCGAAUCUUUGAACGCAUAUUGCGCUCUCUGGUAUUCCGGAGAGCAUGCUUGUUUGGGUAUCAGUAAACACCUCAACUUCCAUAUCUUUUUUGAAAUGGGAGUUGGACUUGAGUGAUCCCAACGCUUUUCCUCACCGAAAAGUGGCGGGUUACUUGAAAUGCAGGUGCAGCUGGACUUUUCUCUGAGCUAUAAGCAUAUCUAUUUAGUCUGCCUAAAAAACAGAUUAUUACCUUUGCUGCAGCUAACAUAAAGGAGAUUAGUUCUUGUGCUGACUGAUGCAGGAUUCACAAAGACAGGCUUCGGCCGACUUUGUAAACUCGAUCUCAAAUCAAGUAAGACUACCCGCUGAACUUAAGCAUAUCAAUAAGCGGAGGA
rnacentral:misc_RNA from 1 species